GUGCCUUAAACUAAUGAGUAAGGAAAAUAACGAGCGUUGGUGACGCUUCGCUCUGCUAACAGAGUUUAGUGGAAUUCUUUGUAAGGGCACAGGUCGUCCCAGGCCCACCCGCCUACUUUGCGGGAGGACCGGGAGUAAGCGAUCUGCCCU